rnacentral:lncRNA from 1 species
AGGGCGCUGGAGAUUCGAGGCGAGACGGGCCGACGGAAGGAGCUGGAUUACCGGCUGCUGGCAGUGGGAUUUCUUGGACGCGGAAGGAUGGCUGCUGUGACCGGAAGAAGAGGAGAUGGGAGGCUGAGACGGCGGCUUGAUCACAGCACGGGAUCACUAGGUGGAUUGCAGAGGAGGGGGUCGAUGAUCGUUGGAGCUUGGACGCAGCGUCGGAGGCUGGGAUUACGGACUAGCAUCCGCAUCACGGGCGGCUGGACGCGAUCAUAGGAGAGGCGGUCAUCCGGGCUGAGAGAAUGGCUGAGGGAGCGACGCGGACGGCUUGAAUCCGAAAGAGGGGAGGAUGCUGGAACUUGCCCGGAAUGCUCAAAUGGAGAAGGAACGGGGACCACGAACGGCCGGGAUGCGGCUUCGGCUUGAUUUGGGAAGGAGCUGGGACGUUGCGGGAUCACGAGAAGGAGCUUGAAUCUUUGGCUUCACGGCUAAAGGGACUCCUUGAAACGGAUGGCUGCUGAUCGUGGGACGUUGCUUUGAUUGCGUUGAUGGCGUGGAGGAGCCGAUCGGAGUGGAUUUAUUCGGGAUGUUGAUGAUUGGCUAGGCAGAUGGCCGAGAAGGAAAUGAUCGCGGGGCCUUGAUGCGGGACUAAUUUGGAAGGUGAUCUGAUGGACGGCGUGAAAUUUAAUGCUUGCAUAGCAGCUGGAGAAUUUGUUGAGUUCGGGCUGCCGGGCAUUGGGCUCAAACCCAAUGUUAUUUGGGUCUCUUGGAUUACUUGCACUCAAACACAAAUACAACGUUAAUUAAUUAAUUUUAUCNN